AACGAACGCUGGCGGCAUGCCUAACACAUGCAAGUCGAACGAGACCUUCGGGUCUAGUGGCGCACGGGUGCGUAACGCGUGGGAACCUGCCUUUAGGCUCGGAAUAACUCAGAGAAAUUUGAGCUAAUACCGGAUGAUGUCUUCGGACCAAAGAUUUAUCGCCUUUAGAUGGGCCCGCGUUGGAUUAGCUAGUUGGUGGGGUAAAGGCCUACCAAGGCGACGAUCCACAGCUGGUCUGAGAGGAUGAUCAGCCACACUGGGACUGAGACACGGCCCAGACUCCUACGGGAGGCAGCAGUGGGGAAUAUUGGACAAUGGGCGAAAGCCUGAUCCAGCAAUGCCGCGUGAGUGAUGAAGGCCUUAGGGUUGUAAAGCUCUUUUACCCGAGAUGAUAAUGACAGUAUCGGGAGAAUAAGCUCCGGCUAACUCCGUG
rnacentral:rRNA from 1 species